rnacentral:rRNA from 1 species
CGUGCGGUCCUAUUUUGUUGGUUUCUAGGAUCGCCGUAAUGAUUAAUAGGGAUAGUUGGGGGCAUUCGUAUUCAAUUGCUAGAGGUGAAAUUCUUGGAUUUAUUGAAGACGAACUACUGCGAAAGCAUUUGCCAAGGAUGUUUUCAUUGAUCAAGAACGAAGGUUAGGGGAUCGAAAACGAUCAGAUACCGUUGUAGUCUUAACAGUAAACGAUGCCGACUAGGGAUCGGACGAGGAUUUUUAAUGACUCGUUCGGCACCUGAAGAGAAAUCUUUAAGUCUAGGUUCGGGGGGGAGUAUGGUCGCAAGGCUGAAACUUAAAGGAAUUGACGGAAGGGCACCACCAGGUGUGGAGCCUGCGGCUUAAUUUGACUCAACACGGGGAAACUCA